rnacentral:rRNA from 1 species
GACGGAGGAUGCAAGCGUUAUCCGGAAUGAUUGGGCGUAAAGCGUCCGCAGGUGGCAGUUCAAGUCUGCUGUCAAAGACCGGGGCUUAACUUCGGAAAGGCAGUGGAAACUGAACAGCUAGAGUAUGGUAGGGGCAGAGGGAAUUCCUGGUGUAGCGGUGAAAUGCGCAGAUAUCGGGAGGAACACCUAUGGCGAAGGCAGCUUGCUGGGACGGCACUGACGCUGAGACGCGAAAGCGUGGGGAGCAAACAGG